CAGGCUACCAGCCUGGGGGAAGAGAGCAGUGAGGACAUGGAAGGAGCCUUUGUUCUGUCAUCAGUAAGCUAUAGGUAAUAUAUUGAAACAUCCUUAGCAAAAUUAAAGCUGCUGAGUCUGAUCAUGAUGAAUAGAGAAGUUCAUCUUGAUUACUGGAUUAUCCAAGGACCGACCUAUUUAGAAAUACCAGCAGGCUUGCUUCCCAACUAAAGAAAUCAAUCAAGAGAACGGCUACUGUUUAUCACACACAGGGACCAAUUCAUUAUAUGGAAAGCAAAAGUCUCUCUGAACAAAAGAUUUGAAGAUCACUAAAUAGUUGCCUUUAUUUGCCAUGUUUUCUCUUCCUGGUUUACUUGAUUAUAUUUUCUCAACAAUGCUACAUACUUCUGAAAAUGAAUGGAAACUCCCCAUAAAAGUUUGCAUUCCAUACGUCAUUAUUGGCAUUUUCAAAACGUUGCUUUACCCAAACCAUAGUAGGUAAAAUUCCUUUAGGCUUUGUGAAAAGGUUUGACAAGUCUUCUAAAGGAGUCGUUGACAGUCCCACUGGAAAAAGGACAAUACAACCACACAAGGCAAAUGACCACAUACCUAUUGCUGUCAUGUAAUCCCAGCGGUCUAUGAGGCACAUAUUGAAGAUGAGGUGAUCAGAUGUUUGCCCCUGGCCAAUAAGUACAAUCUCCCUCUCCAAAUUCUGGCACACAGACGAAGUCCAGCCAACAAGAAACCAAAAUACCACCAGGAGAAUCACUGCAAGCAUCCUCAUGACCCGCCCUCCUGUCAUAUAUGGAAUCCGCUGGGCUGUCCGCGAGAGAAACACCUUCAAAACCCUGGAAAAGCCAGAGAGCAAAAUGUGAAAAGGCAAACAACACUCAGAAAGUAAAAUUCAAAAACUAUCAUAUAUUUUUAGAUUAAAUGUAAACCCACCAUAAUCCACUUAUGCAGAGUUUUGACAAAAAAAUCCAGAAACAGUUUAUCAUAUAUUUAUUUAAUUUCUUUCUAGCUUAUCUUCCAAUAGCAAAACAAACAGCCUGCAUUAGAGACAAGUGAGUCAACAGACUCACAUAUUCUUUUGAAUAUGUCUUAAUAUUUCAGGGGAAAUUCUCAGGAAUUUGAAAAGGUUCACGGAAAAAUUUUGCUCAGCUAAAUACAGUUUCUGAGGGAUUGAAAAUAGUCUUGAAAAUAAGUAGCUGGAUUUUUCUAUAUUAUACUAAGUCAAAAACUUCCUUAAAUCCUUCUUUAAACCAUAAAUUUUUUACAGUAGAAAUUACAGAUAUUUUAUGAAAAUCAUGCCAUCUGACCUUCCUUCACAGUCAUUUGAUCACAUUAUCAAAAAAUUAUGAGAUAAAUAUUAAAAUGAUGAGAGGUGUAUUUAAACACUUGGUUAACUGGAUAACAUCAUUAUAUUAAGGAAGAAGAUUGGGAUAAAUCACUGUAAGAAAUGUAGUGAUUUUUUUAAUGUGUUUUUUUGUUUCUGUAUAUAUGACUCAAAUGAAUAUCCAAGGUUGAGAACUACUGGAUUAGAUGAUAUUUAAGGGCUGUUCUAGCUCUAAAGGCGAUGUGAAGACAAAAAUCUAACCUUACCAUAGGAAUCCAUACAACCACCCACUCUUCAAUUCCACCUCUAAUAUCUUCAAGUUAUUUUAGUUCUUCACCACCCCCUCUCCAAAUUCUGAAAUUUUUAUGUCCCUAAAAUUGUGAUCUGACAUACACCACCACCACAGAGAAUCAGUUUCCAAAAAAACAAAAAUGCAUUUUCCAAACUGUCUAUACCUUCCCCAUCUUUUACUUUCAAAAUUUUUAAAGCCAUAUGAUUCCUCAUAAAAAUCACUAUAAAUCCAUAAAUGAAGCGACACACCUGAAAUAGCCUGGAUGUAUUCUGAUAUUUUUCUACAUACAGACCUUUGGAAUCUUUCCUGAAUUAACACAACACAUCUAGUAAAGAAAUUUUCCAGCAGGUUCUUCUGUAUCCUUUUAUUCCAGUAUCUUUCACCACAAUGUCCUUCAGCUAACACACAGGAUGAAGUUAUUUAAUUAUGCAUAAAAUACUUAUCCUUUUCAGUGAGAUGAUAUUAGAAAGUAUCAAAUGGGAGAACACUAGAAGCCCUCAACAGAUCUCCAUUCACCCAGUUGGCCAGAUUCUCAGCUGUUCUCCAUUCCCAUGCCCAGCACACUGAGAACCGUGUACCUGUUCUGAGUGCUACCACGCGCAGUUAGCACGCUCCCCUCUAGGACGCUGCAAGCAUUUCUGCUCCAACUCGCUGAACUGCUAUUUGUUAAGAAUCAGUUAUAUUUGUUAAUGCCGGUUUUACUUGUUGUCGUAUUAUGUAAUUUAACUAAAUACUAAAUAAAGUGAUUAUACAUGA